AGAGUUUGAUCCUGGCUCAGGAUGAACGCUAGCGGGAGGCUUAACACAUGCAAGUCGAGGGGCAGCAUUACUUUCGGGUAGAUGGCGACCGGCGCACGGGUGAGUAACGCGUAUGCAACCUACCUUUUACAGGGGAAUAGCCCAGAGAAAUUUGGAUUAAUACCCCAUGGCACUGUCAAUUCGCAUGUUUUGACAGUUAAAGUUUCGGCGGUGAAAGAUGGGCAUGCGUGACAUUAGAUAGUUGGCGGGGUAACGGCCCACCAAGUCUACGAUGUCUAGGGGUUCUGAGAGGAUGAUCCCCCACACUGGUACUGAGACACGGACCAGACUCCUACGGGAGGCAGCAGUGAGGAAUAUUGGUCAAUGGACGCAAGUCUGAACCAGCCAUCCCGCGUGAAGGAUGACGGUCCUAUGGAUUGUAAACUUCUUUUAUGUACCAAGAAUGGCUACUACGUGUAGUAGUUUGACGGUAGUACAUGAAUAAGCAUCGGCUAACUCCGUGCCAGCAGCCGCGGUAAUACGGAGGAUGCGAGCGUUAUCCGGAUUCAUUGGGUUUAAGGGGUGCGUAGGCGGUUUCUUAAGUCAGUGGUGAAAUCCUGCGGCUCAACCGUAGAACUGCCAUUGAAACUGAGAAGCUUGAAUAUAGUUGAGGUAGGCGGAAUGAGUAGUGUAGCGGUGAAAUGCUUAGAGAUUACUCAGAACACCGAUUGCGAAGGCAGCUUACUAAACUAUCAUUGACGCUGAGGCACGAAAGCGUGGGGAGCGAACAGGAAUAGAUACCCUGGUAGUCCACGCCGUAAACGAUGUUCACUCGCUGCUUGCGAUACAUAGUAAGUGGCCAAGCGAAAGCAUUAAGUGAACCACCUGGGGAGUACGUCGGCAACGGUGAAACUCAAAGGAAUUGACGGGGGCCCGCACAAGCGGAGGAACAUGUGGUUUAAUUCGAUGAUACGCGAGGAACCUUACCUGGGCUUAAAUGUAGAUUGCAUGAUGUGGAAACACACUUUCCUUCGGGACUAUCUACAAGGUGCUGCAUGGUUGUCGUCAGCUCGUGCCGGGAGGUGUCGGGUUAAGUCCCAUAACGAGCGCAACCCCUAUCGUUAGUUGCCAUCAGGUUAAGCUGGGGACUCUAACGAGGCUGCCACCGUAAGGUGAGAGGAAGGUGGGGAUGACGUCAAAUCAGCACGGCCCUUAUGUCCAGGGCUACACACGUGUUACAAUGGCAGGUACAAAGGGCAGCUACACAGUGAUGUGAUGCUAAUCUCGAAAGCCUGUCUCAGUUCGGAUCGGAGUCUGCAACUCGACUCCGUGAAGUUGGAUUCGCUAGUAAUCGCGUAUCAGCAAUGACGCGGUGAAUACGUUCCCGGGCCUUGUACACACCGCCCGUCAAACCAUGGAAGCUGGGGGGACCUGAAGUCU
rnacentral:rRNA from 1 species